AUGAGGAGGGAGACCAGACCCCCUGGACCCCAGGGACAAAUGGGACCACAAGGUCCUCCACUGCAUCAGGGAGGUGGGGGGCCACAAGGAUUCAUGGGACCACAAGGGCCCCAGGGCCCGCCCCAGGGGUUGCCGAGGCCUCAGGACAUGCAUGCGCCCCAAGGAAUGCAGAGGCAUCCUGGACCUCAUGGCCCUUUGGGACCUCAAGGACCACCUGGACCACAGGGUAAUUCUGGUCCUCAAGGUCAUAUGGGUCCUCAGGGUCCACCUGGCCCACAAGGUCACAUAGGCCCUCAAGGCCCACCUGGUCCCCAGGGUCACUUGGGCCCUCAGGGACCUCCUGGUACUCAAGGUAUGCAGGGACCACCUGGUCCCAGAGGAAUGCAAGGACCUCCUCAUCCUCAUGGGAUACGAGGUGGGCCAGGGUCUCAAGGGAUCCAAGGUCCUGUGUCUCAGGGACCUCUGAUGGGAUUGAAUCCAAGAGGAAUGCAGGGUCCUCCAGGCCCCCGAGAAAAUCAGGGUCCUGCUCCCCAAGGGAUGAUGAUGGGCCAUCCGCCUCAAGAGAUGAGAGGACCUCACCCUCCAAGUGGACUGCUGGGACAUGGCCCUCAGGAGAUGCGAGGCCCUCAGGAGAUGCAAGGCAUGCAGAGGCCUCUAGCCCAAGGGUCCAUGCUGGGCUCCCCCCAGGAAUUGCGAGGGCCUCCAGGCUCACAAGGUCAGCAGGGGCCGCCCCAGGGCUCUUUGGGGCCGCCACCCCAGGGUGGCAUGCAAGGGCCCCCUGGACCUCAGGGACAGCAGAACCCGGCAAGAGGGCCACAUGCAUCUCAAGGGCCAAUACCAUUCCAGCAGCAGAAAACAGCUCUGCUAGGUGAUGGGCCCCAGGCCCCCUUCAAUCAGGAAGGACAGAACACAGGCCUCCCACCCCUGAUACCAGGCCUAGGGCAGCAGGGAGCACAAGGUCGCAUCCCCCCUCUUAACCCUGGACAAGGACCUGGCCCUAACAAAGGUGACUCAUGCGGCCCUCCCAACCAUCACAUGGGCCCCAUGUCAGAGAGGCGGCAUGAGCAGAGCAGCGGCCCUGAGCACGGGCCCGAGAGGGGGCCUCUUUCCGGGGCGGCCAGGACUGCAGGGGUCCCCCUGAUAGGGGUGGCCCUCACCCCGACUUCCCUGAUGACUUCAGCAGACCAGAUGACUUUCACCCGGACAAGCGCUUUGGCCACCGAUUAUGUGAAUUUGAGGGGCGAGGAGGACCUUUACCACAAGAAGAGAAGUGGAGGCGUGGGGGCCCCAGGCCUCCGUUUCCGCCUGAUCACAGGGAAUUCAGCAAGGGGGAUGGCCGGGGAGCAGCCGGGGGCCCUCCAGGGGCUUGGGAAGGCCGCAGACCUGGAGAUGAACGAUUCCCCCGGGAUCCUGAGGACCCACGUUUUCGAGGGCUCAGAGAAGAAAGCUUUAGAAGAGGAGCACCCCCAAGACAUGAGGGCCGUGCCCCCCCAGAGGAAGGGACAGUUUUCCUGGUCCUGAAGACUUUGGUCCAGAGGAGAAUUUUGAUCCUUCUGAUGAAGCAGCCCGAGGAAGAGAUCUCAGAGGUCGAGGUCGGGGUACCCCACGAGGAGGAAGGAAGGGUUUACUCCCCACUCCUGAUGAAUUCCCUCGCUUUGAAGGAGGACGGAAACCAGACUCCUGGGAUGGAAAUAGAGAGCCAGGGCCAGGUCAUGAACAUUUCCGUGAUGCUCCUCGCCCUGAUCAUCCCCCUCACGAUGGUCAUUCCCCAGCUAGCAGAGAACGUUCCUCUUCUCUCCAGGGCAUGGACAUGGCAUCCCUGCCACCCCGAAAGCGUCCCUGGCAUGAUGGGCCAGGGACCUCGGAGCACAGAGAAAUGGAAGCCCCAGGGGGUCCUUCUGAGGAUCGAGGAGGCAAAGGCCGAGGGGGCCCAGGACCUUCCCAGAGAGUGCCAAAAUCUGGGCGCUCCAGCUCCUUGGAUGGAGAUCACCAUGAUGGCUACCACAGAGACGAACCUUUUGGAGGCCCUCCAGGCAGCGGUACUCCUUCCAGAGGGGGCCGGAGUGGCAGUAACUGGGGGAGAGGGAGUAACAUGAACUCUGGCCCGCCAAGGCGAGGAGCUUCAAGGGGUGGUGGAAGGGGUCGGUAGAAGCUGAUUCCCCUGAGGCCUCUCUGGACAGUAUUUAAGAACUUCUUUUGGACUUACCAAGACAAACAAAAGGAAACCUGCACCAUGUAGCCCUGAACUUUUUCUGGGGCAGCUGAAUCCUAGGAGCCCCUAAUGAGGUCUUCAAGAUGAAGAGACUGCUGCUAGCUACCCAGAGUAGCUGGCCUUGUUCUGUCCUGUCCACCCUCACUGCCCUAACUCCCAUUGUUUUGUGAAGAUAAAAGCUGGAAUCUUUUUUUUUUUUUUAAUUGUCACAAGACAUGGAGCACCUCCACAAAUUUAAGUUCAUGUCCGAUUGGAAAUUUGUUUCUAUAUGUACAGUUUGUCAGAGAAAAAACAUUAAGUUGUUUUGUAUGAAUACAGAAUGUGAUUUACGCAAGAA